rnacentral:rRNA from 1 species
GACGAACGCUGGCGGCGUGCCUAAUACAUGCAAGUCGAACGAGAGCGACCGGUGCUUGCACUGGUCAAUCUAGUGGCGAACGGGUGAGUAACGCGUGGGUAACCUGCCCAUCAGAGGGGGAUAACAUCCGGAAACGGAUGCUAAAACCGCAUAGGUCUUCGAACCGCAUGGUUUGAAGAGGAAAAGAGGCGCAAGCUUCUGCUGAUGGAUGGACCCGCGGUGCAUUAGCUAGUUGGUGAGGUAACGGCUCACCAAGGCCGUGAUGCAUAGCCGACCUGAGAGGGUGAUCGGCCACAUUGGGACUGAGACACGGCCCAAACUCCUACGGGAGGCAGCAGUAGGGAAUCUUCCGCAAUGGACGCAAGUCUGACGGAGCAACGCCGCGUGAGUGAAGAAGGUUUUCGGAUCGUAAAACUCUGUUGUUAGAGAAGAACAAGUGCUAGAGUAACUGUUAGCGCCUUGACGGUAUCUAACCAGAAAGCCACGGCUAACUACGUG